UUUCAUGUGUACAAUUCAAUUUCAAUGUUAUAACAAAAGAAUGAAAUAAUAAGAGUUACAAAAUGCCAUCUCUCGUUUUCUUUGUUUUCUAAGGACUAAUAUAGUCAAUCUUAUGGUAAGAGCAUGCACAAUUUUGAGCACCAAUAUCCUCUCCAACACAAGGAGCUUCUGCUUUUCCAUCUUUGUACCAUUGUUUUCUUUGUUGAACUAAUUCACUGAUGAAAUUGUCAAGCAUUUCUCUUGUGAUGCCUGGCAUAACAAUAACAUGUGCCAUAUCUUUGACGCAUGAAAGUUGCCAACGUCGGACAAAUUCAUGGUCACGAGGCCUUUCAAGUACAACUAUGAUGCUAAGCUCAUUCAGCAUGACACUUAUCCCUUCUUUUUGAAGACGAUCUUUCAAAUAUUUAGCAUUGUCGAGACAUCUUUUAACAUCCUUUUGCAGGCCAAUUUGACCUUUUGCGCUCAAGCUAUACCACAAGAAAAUUGGAGUUAAACCGUUACGGCUACCAGAAAUAGUGGCAUCCACAGAAGCAAUGUACUCCACAUUUGUUGAGAGAUUAUUGAUGUAGCUUUUUCUUGUUAUUUGGACACCACAAGGCAUUGGGCACCCUAGGAACUUGUGGCCAGAAAUUGUGACACUUCCAAUUGGCUUCUUGAAACUAAUCAUCUGUUGAAAUUGCAGAAAGAACUAUUAGAAUGUCGCUCUCAAAAUUACUCAAGAAAUUGUAAUUAGAAGUAAGAAGUGAAACUCACAUUGUUUAUAAAAGGGGUCAUAAGACCACAUAGUGCAGCAUCACAGUGGAUGUAAAACCUAUCUUGUGAAUAGCCACAAUCUUUGAGUGUUUCAAGAAUAACAUCAACAUCAUCAAUAGCUCCUUUAAAGGUAGUUCCUAUAUAUAGUUAAAAGAACCAUCAAGGGAAAAGUCGUAAGAUGACUAACUUCAUAAAAGAAAUAAAGAAAAAGUAUAGAAGUUGGAGUACUAGGUAUAUACCAAUUGUGACAUUUAUAAUUGCUGGUUUGUCCUUAUUUUGAAGCAACUUUGCUCUUAAAUCUGAAUAAUCCAUCUCCCCAUUCACUGAUGUGUUGAUUGUUUCUGAAUCCAUUCUAUACAUUCUUGCAGCUUUGAAAACUGAGUAGUGAGAGUCUUUUGAUGCAUAUAAUAUUCCAUCAGGAAGUAGCUCUCGCCUACACAAAUAAUGUUAAGAAAUUUAAGAGCACUGAAGCAAUAUAUAGAAGUUAUUAUAUUAUAUAAACUCAGGUCAAUUCAAUAUAUGAACUUACCCUAACAAAAUACCAUGGAGAUUGCCUUCGGUACCACCAUUGGUAACAUAUCCCCAAUAUUGGUCCUUUUCAAUUUCCCACAGUUGUGCAAACCAAUCCAAAACUGCUACUUCGAAGUCUUUAGAAUGGAAAUCGACAGUGUUUUGAAGGAAAGGAUCACCACAAUUGUUUAGGUGAAACUGCAAAAGUGGUGCUAAAGUUGCAUAGUGAUCAUAACAUAUGUUCACUGGAUAACCUAGAUGAUAAUUGACUCGUUGUUUUAGUGUGUCCAAAUAAUUGACCAAGAUAGUGUCCAGAGAGGGAUCAUCAUUCUUCAAUCCAGGCUCCAUCACCUCAAGUUCCAAGUUCUUCCUAGGCCCUGCCCCUGGUGGUGCCAGCUUUUGUUUCUUGUUCUCCCCAUUCGGGAACAAUCUUCGCCGCGCUAAACUUCUUGGUGUCAUGGCUAAACUUCUCGGUGUCAUGGGUAAUGGCUCAAAAUCCUGUCAAGAAUCAUGAUAAACCAAUUUAAGACAUAAUUAAUUAAAUAAAAACAUAUUUUAUCUAUAGAGGAGGUCGUACAAAAUCAGGAGACAUAAUUAUUUCAAUAAUAUUACAAACAAGAUUUUGGAAUGAACAAAGUGUGAGUUGUUUAAGUAGUGGAGAUGUUUGUGCAUGUAAUAAACAUGAAGAGUACGUACCAUUUCAAGUGAGAGGCCACCCAUUAUAUAUUGUGAAACACAAAUUUAUAGUAAGUAUUUUUUGUUUGGUUAGAAUAAAGGAGAAACAAUUGCUGAGUGCAUUUUGUUCAUAUGUUUGGGAUACUUAUAUAUAGGCCUUACAAGAUGAAGGUUUUGUGCACCCCUUUAAUUUCCUCUCUUUUUCCUCUUAGUUUCUUCAACUGUGUAUACCACUUGCUUUUUCUAAAGUUCCAUCAAGUGUAUUUAUUAGUAUAUAUAUUUCAAAUGAAGAACUUUUCCCCUGUGCGGUCUUGACCAAGCCAUUCUUAGAAAGUGACUACUCAACUUACUAGAAAAUAUUAUUAUGAAUGAUGGGUUGGUGAAAGUAAUGAGAAGCCAAAUCCAAAUUUAGUUAAACAUGCAAAGACUAUAGUCACAAAUUAAACGCGUGCUUGUAAGCAAUUCAUUCUUUAUUAAGAAUUAUAAUGGUGCUAAUAGCAAUUAGCAACCAUAUAUUCAUGUCUAACUACAACCAAUAAAAUAUUAAUUCUCCAUUUGCCUUGCAUAAAUACUAUGAAUAAUGUUUAUUUUUGGAUGUACAUAACUAUAACUUUAAAAGUGAAAAUCAGUUGAAAAACAGGUUAUUAGUUAUUUUCCAAAUUUAAAGGCAACUUUAAAUUUGAUUUUAAAAAAUUAUGAUCAAGCUUUGAUUUUCAAAUAAAGUAAAAAAAAAAAAAUAGUUUAGAAAGACAAUGAAUAAUUUUUUUAUGGUCAAAUGAGUCCUAUAAUUAAUAGAGUAUUUGGAUUUCACUAGGAUGCUACUUGGUGGAUUCUUUGUAUACAAGCGAAGUGGAAUGUAGCUACUUCACUCCACCAAAUGUCAACAAUUAGGAACCAAAGACACGGGUCAAUCUUUGAAUUGGUCUAUUUUUAACUAUCUUCACACCAAUAUAAUUAAAGAUGUUACUCAUAUAUAAAUGGGUCAUAUAUAUAUAUAUUUAUUUAUUUUUAUUAUUUUUUUAAAAUUUUUUUUAUACCACUAGACAGUGGUCUAGUGGCUUUUUAUUAAUAAUAAACAUAAAAAAUUCUCAAUAUGUUGAAUAAUGAAUUUUUUUUUGUCGCAACUGUGGAAUAGUUUACAUAAAAUCUAGGCAGAAGUACUCAUUACCCCCUGAACUUGAAGCUUUUUAUAUAGUGUACACCUAAACUAAAUUUCGUUUUAAUUACCCCCCGAACUUGUUUAUUCCUCCGUCGCGUACACCUUUUUCGUCCACCUACUCCUGUUGGGACUACACGCGCGCGACAACUGUCUAAAUUGGUGAUGUGGAUUUCCACCUGGAUAAAUAAUAGCCACCUGGAUAAAUUAAUAUUGCAAAAAAUAAAUUUCUUAAAUUUAAAAUUCAUUGUUUAAAAGUUAUUUUUGAAUAAGGGCUGAUUUCGCGGAACUCCUUUUGGAUUNNNNNNNNNNNNNNNNNNNNNNNNNNNNNNNNNNNNNNNNNNNNNNNNNNNNNNNNNNNNNNNNNNNNNNNNNNNNNNNNNNNNNNNNNNNNNNNNNNNNNNNNNNNNNNNNNNNNNNNNNNNNNNNNNNUCUGUACUGACUCCUCCGAUUCUAGGGCUCGGGGGGGGGGGUAAUUAAAACAGAAUUUAGUUUAGGUGUACACCGUAUAAAAAGCUUCAAGUUCAGGGGGGUAAUGAGUACUUUUGCCUAAAAUCUAAUUUGAAAAUUUUAUUUCGAUUGCAGUUGAGCUUUCAAAAUUGAUGUUUCUUUUUAAAUGGAUGUUAGAUUUGAGAUUAAUUGUAUUUAAAAAUUUAAUUUUUUUAUAAUAACUUUAUAUUAAGCCUGGUCACUUAGACACUCGAUCAUAAAUGUCAAUUCAAUAACCGAUUUCGAGAUACCUAUUUAAAAAAAACCCAAAAUUUAUAAUUUUUUGUUCUAGUUAUUUCAAAAUUAACUUUAGACCUAUAUGGUCUAACUUAAAAAAUAAAUAAAGAUUGAAUAUAAUUUGUAGAUAUACGAAAUCUAAAGUUAUUCUAAAUAAAGUCAACUUUCAGACAACUUAAAAGCUUUUGGUCUGAUAGGACUUAAAUUUUAAAUUCAUAUGUCUAGUAUUGAAACUACAAAGCUUAAAAACUGAUUCUCAGGAACUACUUAAUACUUUAUAUAGUAAUAACCUCAUGUAUUCACAUAUCUACACUGAUUGCUAAUCGCUAUUUCUACGGCUGAAAGGAUUAUUUCUGAAGAUCAUUCCGAGGGAGGCUCAUAUAGUAGUGGACCUAUUAACAAAAUACGAAAGAAAAACGAAGGAUCCACAUAUAAUUAACAACCAAUCCCAUAUUUUAGAAGCAUAUGCUUCUCUUGUAUCACAUAGAUUAGUUUCACUUUUGUAUGAAUAAACAUUCUUAUAAUUAAAUAAAAUCCUUCUGUUCUUAGGAAAAAAAACUAUAAAACUUAACUUCAAAAGAAAAUGUGUAUGGAUUUUGUCUUUUUUGAAGUGUGAUGUGGUACUCAAUUUGCCACUAAACACGGUGGAACCUAAUCCUACCUAUUAUUGGUGAACGUUUGCUAAUUCAUACAACUGAAAUUUCCAAACUUGAAAAAAAUAAUAAGAUAUUACAAGGUCCAAGUAUGCUAGAACCAAAACUUAAAAAUUGUAUAAUUGUUUUUCCCAUCUUGAAGUUGCUACACAAAAUCGUUCUAUCACCAUAUUUCUAUCAUGAUCUCUAACAAUUACACCACCUCCAAUUCUUUCAUCUCCAAAUCUACACUCAUCAGUAUUUACUUUUAUCCAACUCUAUGAGUUAAGAGUUAAAAUUUUGUAAGUUUGUUGUGUUAAUUUACCUUACUUUUAUGUGAAACAUUAUAUUUUUGCAAGAACAUCUAGUUUUCCACAAUUUCCGACAAACAUAAUAAUAAUCUUUUUAAUAAUUAAAGAAUGCAACUUGUUAAUUUUAACUAACAAGCGAAAACAAUACAUAUACAACUAACAAUUAGAAUAUCAAGGCAUUCUAUUCAAAGAAUAUCAUAAAAGAGUGUUAAAACUUUUUAAUUUUAAAGUUCCAUGUAUACAAUUCAAUUUCAAUGUUGUAACAAAAGAAUGAAUUAAUAAGAGUUACAAAAUGCAAUCUCUAUGGAAGACAUAUUAAUAGCAACAAAUGCCAUCUCUCGUUUUCUUUGCCUUCUAAGGACUAAUAUAGUCAAUCUUAUGAUAAGAACAUGCACAAUUCUGAGCACCAAUAUCCUCUCCAACACAAGGAGGAUUGGUCUUUCCAUUUUGAUACCAUACUUUUCUUUGUUGCAUUAGUUCACUGAUGAAAUUGUCAAGCAUUUCUCGUGUGAUGCCUGGCAUAACAAUAACAUGUGCCAUAUCUUUGACACAUGAAAGUUGCCAUCGACGGACAAAUUCAUGAUCACGAGGCCUUUCAAGUACAACUAUGAUGCUAAGCUCAUUUAGCAUGACACUUAUCCCUGCUUGUUGAAGACGAUCUUUCAAAUAUUUAGCAUUGUCGAGACAUCUUUCAACAUCCUUUUGCAGGCCAAUUUGACCUUUUGCGCUCAAGCUAUACCACAAGAAAAUUGGGGUCAAACCAUUACGACUGCCAGAAAUAGUGGCAUCCACCGAAGCAAUGUACUCCACAUUUGUUGAGAGAUUAUUGAUGUAGCUUUUUCUUGUUAUUUGGACACCACAAGGCAUUGGGCAUCCUAAGAACUUGUGACCAGAAAUUGUGACACUUCCAAUUGGCUUCUUGAAACUAAUCAUCUGUUGAAUUUGCACAAAGAAUUAUUAGAAUGUUGCUCUCAAAAUUACUAAAGAAAAUGUAAUUAGAAGUAAGAAGUGAAACUCACAUUGUUUAUAAAAGGGGUCAUAAGACCACAUAGUGCAGCAUCACAGUGGAUGUAAAACCUAUCUUGUGAAUAGCCACAAUCUUUGAGUGUUUCAAGAAUAACAUCAACAUCAUCAAUAGCUCCUUUAAAGGUAGUUCCUAUAUAUAGUUAAAAGAACCAUCAAGGGAAAAGUCGUAAGAGGACUAAUUACUUCAUAAAAGAGGAAAGAAAAAUGAAAGAGGUUGAAGUAAAUACAUACCAAUUGUGACAUUUAUAAUUGCUGGUUUGUCCUUAUUUUGAAGCAACUUUGCUCUUAAAUCUGAAUAAUCCAUCUCCCCAUUCACUGCUGUGUUGAUUGUUUCUGAAUCCAUUCUGUACAUUCUUGUAGCUUUGAAAACUGAGUAAUGAGAGUCUUUUGAUGCAUAUAAUAUUCCAUCAGGAAGUAGCUCUCGCCUACACAAAUAAUGUUAAGAAAUUUAAGAGCACUGAAACAAUAUAUAGAAGUUAUUAUAUUAUAUAAACUCAGGUCAAUUCAAUAUAUGAACUUACCCUAACAAAAUACCAUGGAGAUUGCCUUCGGUACCACCAUUGGUAACAUAUCCCCAAUAUUGGUCCUUUUCAAUUUCCCACAGUUGUGCAAACCAAUCCAAAACAGCCACUUCAAAGUCUUUAGAAUGGAAAUCGACAGUGUUUUGAAGGAAAGGAUCACCACAAUUGUUUAAGUGAAACUGCAAAAGUGGUGCUAAAGUUGCAUAGUGAUCAUAACAUAUGUUGACUGGAUAACCUAAAUGAAAAUUGACUCGUUGAGUAAGUGUGUCCAAAUAAUUGACCAAGAUAGUGUCCAAAGAAGGACCAUCAUUCUUCAAACCAGGUUCCAUCACUUCAAGUUGUAAGUUCUUCCUUGGCCCUGCGCCUGAUUGUUCCACCUUCUGUUUCUUGUUCUCCACAUUUGGAAACAAUCUUCGCCGUGCUAAACUUCUAG
rnacentral:lncRNA from 1 species